rnacentral:rRNA from 1 species
AAAACGACUCUCUGCAACGGAUAUCUCGGCUCUCGCAUCGAUUAAGAACGCAGCGAAAUGCGAUACUUGGUGUGAAUUGCAGAAUCCCGCGAACCAUCGAGUCUUUGAACAGCAAGUUGCGCCCGAAGCCUUUCUGCCGAGGGCACGUCUGCCUGGGUGUCUCGC